rnacentral:rRNA from 1 species
GACGAACGCUGGCGGCGUGCUUAACACAUGCAAGUCGAACGGAAAGGCCCUGCUUUUGUGGGGUGCUCGAGUGGCGAACGGGUGAGUAACACGUGAGUAACCUGCCCUUGACUUUGGGAUAACUUCAGGAAACUGGGGCUAAUACCGGAUAGGAGCUCCUGCUGCAUGGUGGGGGUUGGAAAGUUUCGGCGGUUGGGGAUGGACUCGCGGCUUAUCAGCUUGUUGGUGGGGUAGUGGCUUACCAAGGCUUUGACGGGUAGCCGGCCUGAGAGGGUGACCGGCCACAUUGGGACUGAGAUACGGCCCAGACUCCUACGGGAGGCAGCAGUGGGGAAUAUUGCACAAUGGGCGGAAGCCUGAUGCAGCAAUGCCGCGUGCGGGAUGACGGCCUUCGGGUUGUAAACCGCUUUCGCCUGUGACGAAGCGUGAGUGACGGGAAUGGGUAAAGAGGCACCGGCUAACUACG